CCUACGGGGUGCUGCAGUGAGGAAUAUUGGUCAAUGGACGCAAGUCUGAACCAGCCAUGCCGCGUGCAGGAAGACGGCUCUAUGAGUUGUAAACUGCUUUUGUACGAGAGUAAACGCAGAUACGCGUAUCUGUCUGAAAGUAUCGUACGAAUAAGGAUCGGCUAACUCCGUGCCAGCAGCCGCGGUAAUACGGAGGAUUCAAGCGUUAUCCGGAUUUAUUGGGUUUAAAGGGUGCGUAGGCGGUCGGAUAAGUUAGAGGUGAAAUCCCGAGGCUCAACUUCAGAAUUGCAUCUGAUACUGUUAGGCUAGAGAGCAGUUGCGGUAGGCGGAAUGUAUGGUGUAGCGGUGAAAUGCUUAGAGAUCAUAAAGAACACCGAUUGCGAAGGCAGCUUACCAAGCUACUUCUGACGUUGAGGCACGAAAGCGUGGGGAGCAAACAGGAUUAGAUACCCCAGUAGUC
rnacentral:rRNA from 1 species